rnacentral:lncRNA from 1 species
GAUCCUGGCCAGGACCUUCUAUGCACAGCUGUAGUCUCCUCAUACCCACAGCUCCUCUGGCACCGAUCAGUGGCUCAGACUUUGGGGCAAGACUUUUUGAGCAAUCUGAUCAAGUGGGUCAAAGAGUCCAACCUCAUUAUGAAGGAAGUUGGGCUUCGUGGAAUCAGUAACCUGGCACUGCACCCAGGACAAUCAGAAUCUCUGAAGGGCCAGGUUCCAUUCUUGCGAGACUUCCUGAAGAAUGAAGCGCGAGGGACAGUGCAAGCAGUAAAGAGCCUACGGAACAUCAUCUGUCACGGGAAGGGAGAGGACACCAAGGUGGUCUUUUGCAGCAUUUCCAAGCAACUGCAUCCACUCAUCAAUGAUGAGCCACUGAAGGAAAAGAAGUGACACGCUGCUAUGAAAUCGGUUCUGGAGUGAAGAGUGGGGAGACCACUCACAACUCUACCCUCUUCCCAGACAACACAGGGACCCCAGAAUGCUAGUAAUCUUGUCGAAAGGACCCAAAGGCUCAGGAAUCAGAACUACCCAGAGCAGUACUAAUCCACCCCAUGUCUUAGCCUCCCUACAGAUCAUAGAAUUUUAGAGCCAAAAGAGACUUGACAGCAGACAUGCAUGCUUUCAAUACCCUCCCUAUUCUAGCAUCUAUAACUCUUUAAUUUUCGAACUUUGGAUUUGAAUUAGUUUUGUAUUGGUCUCAUCUCUUCUGUGAGCCUGGACACUCCAUGAUGGCAGGGUCAAUGUCUGAUUCAUCUUUUUUUUUUUUUUUAAGAUUUUAUUUAUUUAUUUGAGGUGGGGGA